ACUCGAGUGGCGAACGGGUGAGUAACACGUGGGUGAUCUGCCUUGCACUCUGGGAUAAGCUUGGGAAACUGGGUCUAAUACCGGAUAGGAACCGUCUUUAGUGUGGUGGUUGGAAAGUUUUUUCGGUGCAAGAUGAGCUCGCGGCCUAUCAGCUUGUUGGUGGGGUAAUGGCCUACCAAGGCGUCGACGGGUAGCCGGCCUGAGAGGGUGUACGGCCACAUUGGGACUGGGAUACGGCCCAG
rnacentral:rRNA from 1 species